AACUUCCUGCAAGCAACGCAAAUUCAUCAAGUAGUAUGCAUGCAUGGUGGCCAGUACUUAAAGAUAGAGAUGAAUAACAGGGCAAUUUUCCUUUGGCAGAAAUAAUUAUAUAUAUUUGGUGCAUUUACUCUCAAUCUCAAGUACCGGCACCGAAUGCUUUCUGCCAAAGGAGAAUUGCCCUGCCAUUCAACUACUCUACCAAUGAUCCAUCCGAAGCAAACCACCACUUGGUAUUCAUGCACUUCGAUCAGUUUCAUAUGUAUAUCUAUCUAGGGGUGCAACUGUGCAAGGAAAGGUUCUUAAUUAAUUUGAAGUCUCGUAUGGAGAUUAGAUUGUGUUCAAGUCUUGCGGGGGAUGAUGUGAUACAUUUCUGCAACUUCAACUUAAGAAGGUCUACUGAAGCUCGAUAAUUGCAACAAUGCUAGAUGAAAUCCUAAAAUAUUGAUCGAUAAUUGCAAUCGAAUUUCUACUGAAGCUCUGCGCAUGCAGCCCAAGAACCCUAACUAGUCUUGGUCUGAAAGCUAUAUCGAUUUCAACAAAAGAACAACAAGUAUUUUGUAUGAUCUUUGUACAAAUUAGGGUUGAAACAGGAAGGCUCCAGCCUUUUGGUUUUGCAAUCAAAACCCAAGGGGUAAAGAGAGGGAGUGACACUUGUAACAAUAAUUAAGUUUUGAUCAUUUUUAGUAAUUCUAUAAAUGGAUGUAUCUGCUUGAAAACCAGAAAUUAAAAAAGGAAUUCUUUUGUUACAAUACA